ACAGCCUUACAUUAACUGCUUAAAAUGGAGCCUUGGCGAAAAUUCAAACUGGGAGACUCGACCAGCUUCACCACAUCAUCUAAUCACUACGCCCGACCGCAGCCAAUCCGGACCGGAGCUUCACGCCACUCCAGCCAAUCGUCGUCCAAAGACACCUUCAAAAGUCCGAGCUACCCUGGGGUCUUCCUGCUCGUCAGCCGUGCUUCGAACCUACGUGAACGCUUCUCCUACCUCUCAGACAUUCAGUCAACAAGUUUCAGCUGCCUUCCGUCCGCCCAGAUCCAGGGAGUGUCCCUCACCGGCCGGCUGCGCUCCUGUCGACUCCCCGCUACUCCACACCAAUCUAACCGCCCUCAUCACGCCUUCCUUCGGCCUCCAUCGGCGACGACGAGCCGGAAUUUUCCGUCCUCCCCUCGUUGACGUCGCAGUCCUCCGCUAUCUGCCCGGUUCCCCGCUCCGGCUCACCAUAGGCUGCUGCG